CACUCACCGCCCCCACCUUCUAUGAAAACAUAUGUCUCGGAGAGCAAUCUCCUAGAGGCCUUAUCACGCUGCUGUAUGUGCACAUAUGCGCAGAAACCAAAGAAUGAGGCAACCUGACAUACACUGAUCAUUGGGAACGGGACCUGGGUGAGGUACUAGAGGGGGUGGAGUGUCAGGAGAUCUGGGAGGCGACAGCCACAUCUUCCAUAUGCAUUUCUAUGCAGG